UGUGGGAGCUCAAAGCCACCGACUCGCUCUCUUCAGUUACAUGCCAAGUGGCACCACCAGGACCAAAACCACAAGAGUGGCCCAAUAAAGUUGUCGGCUCUGUAGGUCUUUUGCACGGAGGGACCACCGACUGUAAUUGGCUUCUCCAGCCUCCUGCAUUGCUUCUUUAAGAAACAGAUACUGAAAACAAGGCAGAGGAGGAAGGGAAGGGAAGAAAGACGGAUCCUACGCUGCUACUUUCCCGACUGCAGUGAGAAGGGAAAUUUACCCUGAACGGGUGACACACUAUCAUUCUCAUUUACAUUUCAUUCUGCAGCAGGAUUAUGAAUUGUUAAAAAAAAAAAAAAAAGCUUUCUUGAUCGAUUAUAUUCUCCCCUGCCUCCCAACCCAAAGAUCAGAAACAGACAAGGAGGUGAUGAUCAAAGAUGGCUGCGGUUCCUAAAGCAGCUCUCCUAGAGCUCCCUGAGAGAAGAAUAACUAGUAAAUGUGGCAAGAAUUUGGGGCAUAGCUUACGCUGGGGAAGGCAGAAACUAGGCUCUAUAGGACAACAGGAGCGAUCCCAUUGUGUACCCACAAUUAAGGAGAAAGGCCAACUCCGGCUGUCGCCCGGGUCUGCCCCCCGCCCACCCGCAUUUCUCGCCUAGCAUUAAAAGGGAUGCCUUCGUUGCAAGGAUAUUUGCGUUGCAAGAAUAUUUGGUCCCAGCGAGACACAGCAAGGAGCCAAACAACAACAAAAAGCGCCAGGCAUUUCAACAUUCACGCACCCCGCAACCACACGCACACGCACUGGGAGCUUUUUUUUUUUUUUUUGGUUUUUGUUUUAAUGAGACCAACUUUGCUUGCGCCUCAUCCAAGCUCUGGUCCGUGAUGGUCAUGAUCUGGUGGAGGAUGUCGCCUAUGUCUUGCUUGCGGCCGUCGCCGUCGGCCCCCUCGUGUCCGUGGGGAGGCGGCAGAGCCAUGGCCCCCUGCACCGAGUGGCCGGCCAGGUUCACGCCGGCGAGAGUCUGCAACAUCCUGGACUGCUCAUCCAUGCCUCCUACCGCAGCCCAAUCAAUGCACUCCGAGAGGCGGCCGCGGAGGCAGCAGGAGAAACGGCACGCCGGCAGCGGAGGCGGCGGCGGCGGCGGUGGAGGGAGGGGGGCAGA